UACGUAGGGGGCAAGCGUUGUCCGGAUUUAUUGGGCGUAAAGCGCGUGUAGGCGGCCACACAGGUCCGCUGUGAAAACUCGAGGCUCAACCUCGAGCUGUCGGUGGAAACCGUGUGGCUAGAGUACGAAAGAGGGUCGCGGAAUUCCCGGUGUAGAGGUGAAAUUCGUAGAUAUCGGGAGGAACACCGGUGGCGAAGGCGGCGACCUGGGUCGAUACUGACGCUGAUGCGCGAAAGCGUGGGGAGCAAACAGG
rnacentral:rRNA from 1 species